rnacentral:rRNA from 1 species
AGAGUUUGAUCCUGGCUCAGGAUGAACGCUAGCUACAGGCUUAAUACAUGCAAGUCGAGGGGCAGCAUGGGAUUAGCUUGCUAAUCCCGAUGGCGACCGGCGCACGGGUGAGUAACGCGUAUCCAACCUUCCCCUUACUCUGGGAUAGCCCGGUGAAAACCGGAUUAACACCGGAUGGUUUCAUUAGAUGGCAUCUGACGAUGAAUAAAGGCUUACGGUAAGGGAUGGGGAUGCGUCUGAUUAGCUUGUUGGCGGGGUAACGGCCCACCAAGGCAACGAUCAGUAGGGGUUCUGAGAGGAAGGUCCCCCACAUUGGAACUGAGACACGGUCCAAACUCCUACGGGAGGCAGCAGUGAGGAAUAUUGGUCAAUGGGCGAGAGCCUGAACCAGCCAAGUAGCGUGCAGGACGACGGCCCUAUGGGUUGUAAACUGCUUUUGUGCGGGAAUAAAGUCAGGGACGUGUCCCUGUUUGCAUGUACCGCAAGAAUAAGGACCGGCUAAUUCCGUGCCAGCAGCCGCGGUAAUACGGAAGGUCCGGGCGUUAUCCGGAUUUAUUGGGUUUAAAGGGAGCGCAGGCCGGCGAUUAAGCGUGACGUGAAAUGCCGCGGCUCAACCGUGGAAGUGCGUCGCGAACUGGUUGUCUUGAGUGCGUACGACGUGUGCGGAAUUCGUGGUGUAGCGGUGAAAUGCUUAGAUAUCACGAAGAACCCCGAUUGCGAAGGCAGCGCACGAGUCCGCAACUGACGCUAAAGCUCGAAGGUGCGGGUAUCGAACAGGAUUAGAUACCCUGGUAGUCCGCACGGUAAACGAUGGAUGCCCGCUGUCGGCGAUAUAAUGUCGGUGGCCAAGCGAAAGCGUUAAGCAUCCCACCUGGGGAGUACGGCCGCAAGGUUGAAACUCAAAGGAAUUGACGGGAGCCCGCACAAGCAGUGGAGUAUGUGGUUUAAUUCGACGCAACGCGAAAAACCUUACCGGGACUUGACAUCUGCGGAAGGACCGAUAACGAGGUCUGUGCCCUUCGGGGAACCGCAAGACAGGUGGUGCAUGGUUGUCGUCAGCUCGUGUCGUGAGAUGUUGGGUUAAGUCCCGCAACGAGCGCAACCCUUACCGUCAGUUGCUACGCAAGAGCACUCUGGCAGGACUGCCGUUGACAAAACGGAGGAAGGUGGGGAUGACGUCAAAUCAUCAUGCCCUUUAUGUUCCGGGCCACACACGUACUACAAUGGCGCAAACAAAGGGAGGCGAACCCGCGAGGGGGAGCGAAUCCCAUAAAAGGCGUCCCAGUUCGGAUUGCAGGCUGCAACUCGCCUGCAUGAAGUUGGAAUUGCUAGUAAUCGCAGAUCAGCAUGCUGCGGUGAAUACGUUCCCGGGCUUUGUACACACCGCCCGUCAAACCAUGAAAGUCGGAAACACCCGAAGCCUGUGAGCUGACCGCAAGGGGGCAGCAGUCGAAGGUGGGUCUGAUGAUUGGGGUUAAGUCGUAACAAGGUA